rnacentral:ncRNA from 1 species
ACAGAAAUUGAAUUAUUGAGUCGGCAUGUCUGCUCCCUCUGAUUCCCUAAUGAUUUGGGGGCCUGGUUUAGACUCACAUCU